CGAGACGGGAAUCGGAAUGGACAAGCUCCGGUAGCAUGAGGAAGCGGCGCCGUGGCGACACGGGGUCGUGAGUUUCCAACAGCAAGAGAGCAGGCCGUAACGCAAGUGAACCUAUGAGUAGCCUCGUAAAUUAUGUGGAGGAGCCGACCCUGUGGUCAGAAGGGGAAGGCCGUUGGAUGGGCGCUGGAAUAACGGAAGUGGCGUCAAUCGACUCCCGGGGUAGCAGGGAU
rfam:Candidatus Accumulibacter sp. BA-91 contig000038, whole genome shotgun sequence.